rnacentral:rRNA from 1 species
GACGAACGCUGGCGGCGUGCUUAACACAUGCAAGUCGAACGGAAAGGCCCUGCUUUUGUGGGGUGCUCGAGUGGCGAACGGGUGAGUAACACGUGAGUAACCUGCCCUUGACUUUGGGAUAACUUCAGGAAACUGGGGCUAAUACCGGAUAGGAGCUCCUGCUGCAUGGUGGGGGUUGGAAAGUUUCGGCGGUUGGGGAUGGACUCGCGGCUUAUCAGCUUGUUGGUGGGGUAGUGGCUUACCAAGGCUUUGACGGGUAGCCGGCCUGAGAGGGUGACCGGCCACAAUGGGACUGAGAGACGGCCCAGACUCCUACGGGAGGCAGCAGUGGGGAAUAUUGCACAAUGGGCGGAAGCCUGAUGCAGCAACGCCGCGGGCGGGAUGACGGCCUUCGGGUUGUAAACCGCUUUAGCCUGUGACGAAGCGGGAGUGACGGUAAUGGGUAAAGAAGCACCGGCUAACUACGUG